UGUACGGUACUUCUUCCUACCUA
rnacentral:siRNA from 1 species